rnacentral:rRNA from 1 species
ACGAACGCUGGCGGCGUGCUUAACACAUGCCAGUCGAACGGAAAGGCCCUGCUUUUGUGGGGUGCUCGAGUGGCGAACGGGUGAGUAACACGUGAGUAACCUGCCCUUGACUUUUGGUUAACUUCAGGAAACUGGGGCUAAUACCGGUUAGGAGCUCCUGCUGCAUGUUUGGGGUUGGAAAGUUUCGGCGGUUGGGGAUGGACUCGCGGCUUAUCAGCUUGUUGGUGGGGUAGUGGCUUACCAAGGCUUUGACGGGUAGCUGGCCUGAUAGGGUGACCGGCCACAUAGGGACAGGGAAACGGCCCAGACUCAUAAGGGAGGCAGGAGUGGGGAAUAUUGAACAAUGGGCGGAAGCGUGAUGGAGAAACGCCGGGUGGGGGAUGACGGCCUUCGGGAUGUAAAACGAUUUCGCCUGUGACGAAGCGUGAGUGAGGGUAAUGGGUAAAGAAGAACCGGCAAACUACGU